rnacentral:lncRNA from 1 species
CCAGGCGCAGCACAGCCUCCCCCUGCUGACCGGAGCUGGAAAUGGAAGAAGCCCAGGCCUGGCUGCGGUGGUGCUGUGAGUCCUGGAAGGGUCAGACUUUAGCACCCACCCACCAAGGUGCCCUGCAAAGACCCCAGACUUAGUCGUCAAGUCUUGCCCAGUGCCAGUCCCAGCCUCAGUGUCCUCUUCUGUACAAUGGGAAUAAAAAUACUGAGCCACCAAGGAGGUUGGCAAAGAAUUCCUGAGGAACGACAUACGAGCAUGACCCUGCAUACAGAAAGCAUUCAGCAAAUGUCCUUUUCCUUCCACACACCUGGCCUUGGCUCUGUGGACCAUUCCCAAAGUGCUUGCUGCCUCCCUUUUCCCUCCUUCCCUGGCCAUUUUCUUUCUGCCUUUCCGGGGGCCUCAAGGGAAAUGAGCUCAUGGCUGUUACCUGCUCUGGCUCAACACACCUCCUGAGGAGUCUUCCCAGGGCUUGCAGAUGGACCCUAGGGAAGCCAACCAGAGACAAACAGCCUUUCCCCCAGAGUCCCUGACAUCCAAGCAAAGUUGUGGUCUACAGCCCCUUCCAUUUCUCCCACUCUCCUAUGCUGGGAGCCACACAGCCUUUGCGUUUGUGCUUGGGAAUUUAUGUCCCCAGUUUUGCUGUGCAACAUCAGGGUCCUUCAUAAGGAUGCUGCCCCCAGGUCCGCUGCAGCCCAGGCCAGGUCAGUUCACAGUUGUUUUCUAUCAGCUUUUUCUAUGAC